UAAUAUUAAUUAUGGUUAGAAUUGAAAUUUUUGAAAAGAGAGAAGGAGGUUGGAAGUAUGGGAUAAAACACCAAAAAAAAGUGUUGCUCCAUUCACCUCUCCAAGUGAGUCUGCACCUCCUCACUAUUUUAAUUUGGGUGUUGCUCCCUCCACCUCCACCAAUGCUCCCUCCACCUCCCCAAACUUUUUCAAAAAAAUUUUAAUUACAAAAGUACCCAUUUUUAUUUUAAUUAUAUUUAUUAUUUUGCACAGUCCCACACCCCCCUCCCCCUCCCAAUUCUCCCAAACUCAUUUUUUCAAAUCCGUUUGAAAUCACUCCAACUCCGUCCGUCCC
rnacentral:lncRNA from 1 species